AGCGGCGACGGGUGAGUAACACGUGGGUAACCUGCCUCAUAGAGGGGAAUAGCCUUUCGAAAGGAAGAUUAAUACCGCAUAAGAUUGUAGUACCGCAUGGUACAGCAAUUAAAGGAGUAAUCCGCUAUGAGAUGGACCCGCGUCGCAUUAGCUAGUUGGUGAGGUAACGGCUCACCAAGGCGACGAUGCGUAGCCGACCUGAGAGGGUGAUCGGCCACAUUGGGACUGAGACACGGCCCAGACUCCUACGGGAGGCAGCAGUGGGGAAUAUUGCACAAUGGGGGAAACCCUGAUGCAGCAACGCCGCGUGAGUGAUGACGGUCUUCGGAUUGUAAAACUCUGUCUUUAGGGACGAUAAUGACGGUACCUAAGGAGGAAGCCACGGCUAACUACGUGCCAGCCGCCGC
rnacentral:rRNA from 1 species